GGGAGAGUCUCGUUCCAUGGUGGACAGACAGGGAGAGUCUCGUUCCAUGGUGGACAGACAGGGAGAGUCUCGUUCCAUGGUGGACAGACAGGGAGAGUCUCGUUCCAUGGUGGACAGACAGGGAGAGUCUCGUUCCAUGGUGGACAGGCAGGGAGAGUCUCGUUCCAUGGUGGACAGCAAACCCUCAACCUUCUGGCCUGUUGGCCCUGCGUGACAUCAACUGUGUCACAAAAGAAUGCUGAAGUUGCAAAGUCGAUAUGUCCACGUUUAUAAACGCAGGCUUGCUACAGUUAUCGUAUAUUUAUGGUGGUAACCAUCAUUUUUGUACAUUGUUUGGUAUGUUUCAUGUUGUUUUCUCUUCAUGUAUUUAUUAGGGUGUUUGGUAGAGCAGCAAGUCAACUGGACUUCCUUAGUGGUUACCUGGGUUGUUUCCAGACACGUUGUCAUGGUGAUACCGGUGUAAAUAGCUGACUGGACAUUGAUCUGAUUUAAUGAGUACGAGAGUGUAUUCACUAGGAAAUAAACGGAAGCAAAACAGGACACUUGGAUCUACCUGAAAUGUGUCAAAUAGAAAUGAGUUUGCACAAAUGAAUACAUCCCAUGCCACAUGAUUCAGGUUUCUAUCUGUAACACUGGUUACACCACUGUAAAACGUUUGCACAAAUGAAUACAUCCCAUGCCACAUGAUUCAGGUUGUAUCUGUAACACUGGUUACACCACUGUAAAACGUUUGCACUAAUGAAUACAUCCCAUGCCUCAUGAUUCAGGUUGUAUCUGUAACACUGGUUACACCACUGUAAAACGUUUGCACAAAUGAAUACAUCCCAUGCCACAUGAUUCAGGUAACACUUUGGUUAUACCACUGUAAUGAGUUUGGGGAAAGGCUGUGGCUUUCUUCAUUCUUAUUUUGUAUUUUUGUUUUUCUGCUCUCAAGUUGUGAAUAUUUUUUUAUUUUAUUGAAAGCCAGCGAGAAUGUGCACAAAUCAGCUUUCAAGACUACACCCAAUGAUAACUAAAUAGAUCUUAGGAUUUAGAAUCUAUUGAAGAGAUGUAGGUGGAAAAUGUUGUUUUCUUCUGUCAUGAAAUGUACAGUGCCUUCGGAAAGUAUUCAGACCCCUUGACUUUUUUCCACAUUUUGUAACGUAACAACCUUAUUCUAAAAUUAUUAUUUUUUUAAAUAGUUUCCUCAAUCUACACACAAUAGCUCAUAAUGACAAAGCAAAAACAGGUUUUUAGACAUUUUUUUUCUUCUAAUUUAUUAAAAAUAAAAUUGAAAUAUCACAUUUACAUAAGUAUUCAGACCCUUUAGUCAGUACUUUAUUGUACUUCACCUUUGGCAGAAAUUACAACAUCAAGUCUUGUUGGGUGUGAUGCUACAAGCUUGGCACACCUGUAUUUGGGGAGUUUCUCCCAUUCUUCUCUGCAGAUCCUCUCAAGCUCUGUCAGGUUAAAUGGGGAGCGUCGCUGCACAGCUAUUUUCAGGUCUCUCCAGAGAUGUUCGAUCGGGUUCAAGUCCCGCCACUACCAUGCUUCACCGUAGGGAUGGUGCCAGGUUUCCUCCAGACGUGAUGCUUGGCAUUCAGGCCAAAGAGUUCAAUCUUGGUUUCAUCAGACCAUAGAAUCUUGUUUCUCAUGGUCUGAGAGUCCUUUAGGUGCCUUUUGGUAAACUCUAAUGUAAAUGUGAAUAAGGUAUUUCUGUUUUGUAAAUCUUUUUACAUUUGCCCAAACUUCAAAAACACUGUUUUUGCUUUGUCAUUAUGGGGUAUUGUGUAUAGAUUGCUGAGGAUUUUUAUUUAUUUAAUCAAUUUUAGAAUAAGGCUGUAAUGUAACAAAAUGUGGAAAAAAGUAAAGGGGUCUGAAUACAUUCCAAAGGCACUGUGUACUUCCUAAAUUGCACCCUAUUCCCUUUCUAGUGCACUACUUUUGACCAGGGUAGUGCACUAUAAAAGGACUAUGGUGCCAUUUGGGAUGGACAAUAUAUUGUAAUAUUUUGUAUUUGUUGAAGGAAUGAUAUGAUUGGACUUUGUAAAAAUGCUUCCUUUUUUGUAUCUGCUUCUUUUGUAGAAUCAAAUGGAACAUGUUUAAUAUAUUUGUCAAAAGAUGAUAGAUUUUAUGUUCUGUGGUGUGUUUUAUUUUAGAUUUUAGUGUGGCGUCAUUGUGGGAAAUGUUCUU
rnacentral:lncRNA from 1 species